rnacentral:lncRNA from 10 species
GAAAAACCCUCAGAAACCUCAAGGCCAAGAGGACGUGGUGGAGGCCAACUUGGGGGUUGCAGGACAUCACCCACCUACCCACGAGAUGAUCUAUUAAUAGCUCAGUGGUUCUCACACCUGGGCAGGCAUUGGCAUUACCUGAAGCUGAGAUGAAACCCAAAUGGCUGAGUCCCGCACCCACAGUGUCUGAUUCAGCGAGUCUGGGGCGGGGCCUGACUGAAUUUCCUGCAAUACAGAAAAAUCUCUCUGGCUGCUGCCAGGAGGCUGCUGUGUAGGAGACUGAGCAUGGAAGCCCCAGCCCAGCCCUGCCCAGUUAGGAAGCAACUAUUGUAUUCAGCAAACCCUGCUGGCUCUAACGAGAAGUAUCAUCCCGAGUGCAUCACCAUCACUUCUCACCUCCAUGGCCUCUCAUUAUGCACUCUCUGCCUCUACUCUUGCCUUCCUGGAGCCGUUCUCCAGCCGUUAGCCAAAUGGGUCUUUUCAAAGGUUCCCUGUGCUCCAGCCCCUCAUCACCUGGGAUGGGGUUGUCUGCACCGCUGUCCUUGUGCCUGAUGUCCCCACACGCUCGCUCCUCCUCCACCUUCCGGUAGUCCCAGCUUGAAAGUUCUGACCUCAUCCCCUUCCCCAACACACCCCUACUCCCUGUCACAUCACUCGAAUCUGCUGCCUACAAUUGGUGGGAGUGAAACCACUUAGUUUGCCAACUUUGAAGGAAUCCUGUGAAAUGCUCAGGUAACUGGCACCAAUUUCCCAUUUGUUCCCUUGACAUUUCAGUGCUGCUUAUGGAUUAGUGCUUUGGGCAGCUGCACAGAUAACCCACCUUUUGAUCUGGGUCCGCU